GUCCGCCUAGCUCAAUCGGAUAGAGCGUCAGACUCUUACCAACGGCGGGUUAUCUGAAGGCUGCGAGUUCGACCCUCGCGGUGGGCU